UACAGAGGUCUCAAGCGUUUGUUCGGAUUCAUUGGGCGUAAAGGGUGCGUAGGUGGCAUGGUAAGUCGGAUGUGAAAUCCCGGGGCUCAACCCCGGAACUGCAUUCGAUACUGCCGAGCUAGAGUACUGGAGAGGAGAUUGGAAUUUACGGUGUAGCAGUGAAAUGCGUAGAUAUCGUAAGGAAGACCAGUGGCGAAGGCGGAUCUCUGGACAGUUACUGACACUGAGGCAGCGAAGGCCAGGGGAGCAAACGGG
rnacentral:rRNA from 1 species